rnacentral:tRNA from 1 species
GUCCCUGUAGCGCAAUGGGUAGCGCGUUGGACUUCUAAUCCAAAAGUCGUGCGUUCGAAUCCCGCCUGGGAUG